UACGAAGGGGGCUAGCGUUGCUCGGAUUGACUGGGCGUAAAGAGCUCGUAGGCGGUUUGUCGCGUCGAAUGUGAAAACCCGGGGCUCAACCCCGGGCCUGCAUUCGAUACGGGCAGACUAGAGUUCGGUAGGGGAGUCUGGAAUUCCUGGUGUAGCGGUGAAAUGCGCAUAUAUCAGGAAGAACACCCGUGGCUAAGGCGGCUCUCUAGUACGUGACUGACGCUGAGACGCGAAAGCGUGGGGAGCGAACAGG
rnacentral:rRNA from 1 species